UGGGGAAUAUUGCACAAUGGGCGCAAGCCUGAUGCAGCCAUGCCGCGUGUGUGAAGAAGGCCUUCGGGUUGUAAAGCACUUUCAGCGAGGAGGAAGGUGGUGGACUUAAUACGUUCAUCAAUUGACGUUACUCGCAGAAGAAGCACCGGCUAACUCCGUGCCAGCAGCCGCGGUAAUACGGAGGGUGCAAGCGUUAAUCGGAAUUACUGGGCGUAAAGCGCACGCAGGCGGUUUGUUAAGUCAGAUGUGAAAUCCCCGGGCUCAACCUGGGAACUGCAUUUGAAACUGGCAAGCUAGAGUCUCGUAGAGGGGGGUAGAAUUCCAGGUGUAGCGGUGAAAUGCGUAGAGAUCUGGAGGAAUACCGGUGGCGAAGGCGGCCCCCCUGGACGAAGACUGACGCUCAGGUGCGAAAGCGUGGGGCAGCAAACAGGAUUAGAUACCCUGGUAGUCCAGCGCUGUAAACGAUGUCGAUUUGGAGGUUGUGCCCCUUGAGGCGUGGCUUCCGGAGCUAACGCGUUAAAUCGACCGCCUGGGGAGUACGGCCNCAAGGUUAAAACUUAAAGGAAUUG
rnacentral:rRNA from 1 species